rnacentral:rRNA from 1 species
GAUGAACGCUAGCUACAGGCUUAACACAUGCAAGUCGAGGGGAAACGACAUCGAAAGCUUGCUUUUGGUGGGCGUCGACCGGCGCACGGGUGAGUAACGCGUAUCCAACCUGCCCACCACUUGGGGAUAACCUUGCGAAAGUAAGACUAAUACCCAAUGAUAUCCCACGAAGGCAUCCGAAUGGGAUUAAAGAUUUAUCGGUGAUGGAUGGGGAUGCGUCUGAUUAGCUUGUUGGCGGGGUAACGGCCCACCAAGGCAACGACCAGUAGGGGUUCUGAGAGGAAGGUCCCCCACAUUGGAACUGAGACACGGUCCAAACUCCUACGGGAGGCAGCAGUGAGGAAUAUUGGUCAAUGGGCGGAAGCCUGAACCAGCCAAGUAGCGUGAGGGAUGACUGCCCUAUGGGUUGUAAACUGCUUUUAUGCGGGGAUAAAGUGUGGGACGUGUCCCAUAUUGCAGGUACUGCAUGAAUAAGGACCGGCUAAUUCCGUG